AGUGAACGCUGGCGGUAGGCCUAACACAUGCAAGUCGAACGGCAGCACAGUAAGAGCUUGCUCUUACGGGUGGCGAGUGGCGGACGGGUGAGGAAUACAUCGGAAUCUACUUUUUCGUGGGGGAUAACGUAGGGAAACUUACGCUAAUACCGCAUACGACCUACGGGUGAAAGCAGGGGAUCUUCGGACCUUGCGCGAUUGAAUGAGCCGAUGUCGGAUUAGCUAGUUGGCGGGGUAAAGGCCCACCAAGGCGACGAUCCGUAGCUGGUCUGAGAGGAUGAUCCGCCCCACCGGGACUUAGACACCGUCCCAGCUCCCACGGGAGGCCGCAGUGGGGAAUAUUGGACAAUGGGCGCAAGCCUGAUCCAGCCAUACCGCGUGGGUGAAGAAGGCCUUCGGGUUGUAAAGCCCUUUUGUUGGGAAAGAAAAGCAGCAGGUUAAUACCCCGCUGUUCUGACGGUACCCAAAGAAUAAGCACCGGCUAACUUCGUG
rnacentral:rRNA from 1 species